rnacentral:rRNA from 1 species
CACGUAGGGUGCGAGCGUUGUCCGGAAUUAUUGGGCGUAAAGAGCUCGUAGGCGGUGUGUCGCGUCGGCCGUGAAAACCUGCAGCUUAACUGUGGGCUUGCGGUCGAUACGGGCAUCACUGGAGUUCGGCAGGGGAGACUGGAAUUCCUGGUGUAGCGGUGAAAUGCGCAGAUAUCGAGAGGAACACCUGCGGCGAAGGCGGGUUGCUGGGCUGACACUGACGCUGGAGGCGCGAAAGCGUGGGGAGCGAACAGG